rnacentral:rRNA from 1 species
AGGAAAAGAAACCAACAGGGAUUGCCCCAGUAACGGCGAGUGAAGCGGCAACAGCUCAAAUUUGAAAUCUGGCCUCGGCCCGAGUUGUAAUUUGCAGAGGAUGCUUCGGGCGCGGUGCCUUCCGAGUUCCCUGGAACGGGACGCCAUAGAGGGUGAGAGCCCCGUAUGGUUGGACGCCUAGCCUGUGUGAAGCUCCUUCGACGAGUCGAGUAGUUUGGGAAUGCUGCUCAAAAUGGGAGGUAUAUCUCUUCUAAAGCUAAAUACCGGCCAGAGACCGAUAGCGCACAAGUAGAGUGAUCGAAAGAUGAAAAGCACCUUGAAAAGGGGGUUAAACAGCACGUGAAAUUGUUGAAAGGGAAGGGCCCAUGACCAGACUUGUGUCCGGCGGAUCACCCAGCGUUCUCGCUGGGGCACUCCGCCGGGUCCAGGCCAGCAUCGGUUCUCGCCGGGGGAUAAAGGCUCUGGGAACGUAGCUCCUCCGGGAGUGUUAUAGCCCUCUGCGUAAUACCCUGGCGGGGACCGAGGUACGCGCUCCGCAAGGAUGCUGGCGUAAUGGUCAUCAGCCACCCGUCUUGAAACACGGAUCAAGGAGUCGUCCAUUAGAGCGAGCGUUUGGGUGUCAAACCCGCACGCGUAAUGAAAGUGAACGUAGGUGAGAGCUUCGGCGCAUCAUCGACCGAUCCUGAUGUCCUCGGAUGGAUUUGAGUAUGAGUUUUACUGGACGGACCCGAAAGAUGGUGAACUAUGCCUGUAUAGGGUGAAGCCAGAGGAAACUCUGGUGGAGGCUCGCAGCGGUUCUGACGUGCAAAUCGAUCGUCAAAUAUGGGCAU